rnacentral:lncRNA from 1 species
AGCUCCUCCUCGAAGGCCACGAUCUUUUGGAAGAUCGAAGUGCUUGGGUUCAGCUCGCUCUCGCCAUUCACCAGUGCCUGGUCGACCAGGACUUGCCUCAGCUUCUGCAUCAGCGGGUAGGUGGCGCUGCAGGCGUCAUCAGCGUAGGUGAACACAUGCUCGCGGUCGACCACUUUGAGCAGGUCCCUCUCACAGUAGUGAGACGGGUGGAGCUCGCCAUUAGCGCCCACCAUGAGGACUUUCCUGGCCACCCUGCCGACCGUGUUCUUCACCGUGCUCUUCAGGUUCUCCUCCAGAUGCCUCAGGUCAACUGCCUGGCACAGAGCAACCAGGAAAGUGGAAGACAUGAGCUUCAAUAUGUCGAUGGCCUCGGCGGUCUUCCU